rnacentral:rRNA from 1 species
UCGAGUAUCGAUGAAGAACGCAGCUUGCUGCGUUACUUACCACGAAUUGCAAACGCUUAGAGUGGUGAACUUUCGAGCGCAUAGCACCGAUUGGGUCUCCAGUCGGUACGUCUGGUUCAGGGUUG